AUUGAAAAAGUUUAUGUUUAAUAAAAAUUCAUUUUGAAAGAAAAAAAAACUGUAAAAGAGAAAACAAAAUGUGUAUUAUUUUAGUGCCCAAUGAUUUUUAAAUUUGUUUUACUUUAUUAUUUUUAACGAUCAAAACAAGACAAUGAUUUGAAUAUUUCUCGUCCAUUGGUGAGUUCAAUGCGGACCGCCUCCGAAUAUUUGUGAUAAUACAAACUCUCUUAUCAUGUUUUUAAAAAUGUCUAUAAUAUAUAAGAUAAGAAGAUAGCUUAUUAAUGUUGUUUUUUCUCAUGUUAUUUUUCCUGCACAUCUAAAAUGGUCAGAUUUCUAAUUAACAUAUCUGGAUCUUGGAUUUGAAUCUCUGUGAAGAAUGGGAUUUGAACUUCAGGAUAUUUAGGAUGCCCCUUAAUCCACUUCACUCUAAUGCAGCGGUUCUCAACCUUUUUUUAAGCUCGGCGUCCCCUUUUUACAAUCCCCACUCUGCCACGACCCCCCCCCCGCACACA